GAUCCUGGCUCAGGACGAACGCUGGCGGCGUGCCUAAUACAUGCAAGUCGAACGAGAGCGACCGGUGCUUGCACUGGUCAAUCUAGUGGCGAACGGGUGAGUAACACGUGGGUAACCUGCCCAUCAGAGGGGGAUAACAUCCGGAAACGGAUGCUAAAACCGCAUAGGUCUUCGAGCCGCAUGGCUUGAAGAGGAAAAGAGGCGCAAGCUUCUGCUGAUGGAUGGACCCGCGGUG
rnacentral:rRNA from 1 species